AGGCAGCGUGGUGAUUCGAUCCCACGCCUCGAAAGACUGGUGCCUAAAACCAGCGCUUUAGACCACUCGGCCGCGCUACC
rnacentral:tRNA from 13 species